GACGAACGCUGGCGGCGUGCCUAAUACAUGCAAGUUGAGCGCUGAAGGUUGGUACUUGUACCAACUGGAUGAGCAGCGAACGGGUGAGUAACGCGUGGGGAAUCUGCCUUUGAGCGGGGGACAACAUUUGGAAACGAAUGCUAAUACCGCAUAAAAACUUUAAACACAAGUUUUAAGUUUGAAAGAUGCAAUUGCAUCACUCAAAGAUGAUCCCGCGUUGUAUUAGCUAGUUGGUGAGGUAAAGGCUCACCAAGGCGAUGAUACAUAGCCGACCUGAGAGGGUGAUCGGCCACAUUGGGACUGAGACACGGCCCAAACUCCUACGGGAGGCAGCAGUAGGGAAGCUUCGGCAAUGGACGAAAGGCUGACCGAGCAACGCCGCGUGAGUGAAGAAGGGUUUCGGAUCGUAAAACUCUGUUGGUAGAGAAGAACGUUGGUGGGAGUGGAAAGCUCAUCAAGUGACGGUAACUACCCAGAAAGGGACGGCUAACUACGUG
rnacentral:rRNA from 1 species